ACUGUUUGCCGUAAUUUAAUAGAAUUUAAUUUUAACCGAUCAAUAUUAUUUUUAUUUUCUACCCCUAAAUCCGCCAUUCUUCUCACCAUUGUUUCACAAGCUGCUUCGUACCCCCACGACUGAUGCUAUUGUUUGCGCGAUUUCAGAAAUUUUUCAAUAACAAUAAUUCUGAGCACAGUCACAAAAUUAUUAUCUUAUUUAAAAGCGCUGUAUAGAGCCUACAUAAAGUUAUGUAAUCUCUAUAAUGCCUCUAAACGGAAAAAUGCUAUUUAUAAAACUUAUGCAAGGUUGCAUAGUCCCAUAAUAAUCUGAGGUUGAAUAAAGCCUACAUAAGGAAAUUAUUGUUGUUAUUAUUUCGUAAAUGUCAUUUUGAUUUCUCUCCAUUCUUUAAAUUCAAAAGAAAACAAUAAUGCCUUUCCAAUUUAGCUCAUUUAUUAACGAUUUUAAUAAUUUAAAUCCGAGAAGUCGGAAAGUUUAUAAAAAAAAAGGUUCAACCCAAUGAGCCUAAGAAACGGAGAAUUUAAAAAAAAAAUAUAGAUUUUCAAAAAAUAAUAUAUAAAUAAUUGAAAUUAUCCGUUCGGAUCUCAGCAGCGACAAUAGAGGAGGCCACAUCCCCAUAGAUAUCCAAGUAAUGUCUGCAAUAAAAUAUUGGGGACGGAACGAGAUUCAAGGUAAUGUGCUACCUUCCGUUUAAAUGAUGCUAAGAGGAUCGUGCUUACUGCUUAUUAUUAUAUUUUGGUUCAUAUUUUCUAAUUACUAAUGGAACAGACGUGUUAAUUUGUAUACUUUUUGAAAAAAAUUGUUUUAAGCUCAAAAUUUGGGCAAAAAAAGUUAAAAAAAAGUUUUGAAGUGUAAUUUUUAAAACUAAGAUUAUCUAUUAUUGUUUUUAGCAUUCAUUGUUCAUAUUUGUUUUUGAUCAAAAACUGAAAAAUAGAUGAUUACAUGUCUCCUUGUUCUUGAGAAAAUUAUCAAAUAAAUAUAUUUUAAUUGAA